GUCUGCAGCGUUGAGAGCGGUCGUAUGAAACCAACCAGGAAGUCUGCAGCGUUGAGAGCGGUCGUAUGAAACCAACCCGUUCAUCAAGCAAAGCUCUCAACCAUACUAGCUCGCUCUUAAAAUCUAUUCAGUUCAACUCGCCAUAAAUUCUGCAUCUGAACUGUGUAUAAGCUGAUACUAGUAGAUCUGUGGCUAUGAGCAACUUCAAAGCAGUCUCUCAGACAGACGGGUUGCCUCCCGCAAUGUUCCAAUAUUCCAAUUUACAAUCUCCACAGGAGGCUGCUGGGGGGAACGUGUCAUAAUAAUGUCCGGAACAGAACAAAUGGAAUGGCAUCAACACCUGCAAACCAUGUGUUUGAUGUAUCUGACACCAAUCCACUGAUUCCGUUCCAGUCAUUACCACGAGCUCGUCCUCCCCCACCUACUUCCUGUGACAUAUGCAUACAACGUUAGUUAGGUAUAGAGGAAAGGGUAGAGUUGGGUCAUCAGACUUUCUUACAUCACUGCCUUAUCCGCUUGUGGCCAUAGUGUAAACUUUCCCCUGAUACAAAGUGACUAGUUUGCGUAAACUACCUUCCCUAAAACCACUGCAAAGGUUUUGCCUGCAAACUUUGGUUUUGAAUUGCGAUGUUUGGAGGUGUUUGCCUCAUGAUUUAUUGGGAGAGUUAUCUGUCUGAAGAGGAUCCUCCACAGAUUUUUGUUUUUUAAUUACCAAGAGAAUCCGUCAUUAAUUCCAGACCCUAGUAACUGUUGCUGCCGUAGGUCUAGGAUUUCUUAUUGAGUUGGAAUGGAGAAUUAGCAUGCCACAUAAGAGACAAGAAUUAGACUGUUUGUAAUUGUGUUUGAAUGGUAGUGAAGUAUUAGCCUGUUCGUGUAGGGGUUGAAUGGAGAAUUAGCAUGGUAGCCAUGAGACAAGCAUUAGCCUGUUUGUAUUAGAUUUGAAUAUAGAAGUAGCAUGCUAGCAAUGAGACAAAUAACAAUUUGCUUUGUGGUUGAAUUAAUAAUUAGCAUGCUAGCAUGUCAGCGAUAGGGAAUCAGCACACCAGCCCCUUACAAACAGAAAAAUACAAGAUAAGAUUUAAUUCAUAAACACAUUAGUUAUGCCACAGCAAAGUAAUUACACCAAGCAACAGAAACAGCACAAGCUUGUGUUUUUAUUUGCUAUUAGCUUCAUAAAUUAAUUGUGUCUUUCAGCUAUGCAGGAACAUAUCGUAGAGACACAGUGUUUUUUGGCAGAGAACAUAUUAUUUGAUUAGGUUUUUAAUUAUAUUUUGUUGCCAAAAGAGUCUGCAUAUUCAGUGAAUUUAGUUAAUAUACGGAUUAUUGAUGGGUUCUCUGACCCUGUUUCCAUGCCUCAUGCAGAAGCACUGUUUUAAAAUAUAGGGAUUUGAUACAGUGUUAAACAUUUAAUAAAAAUAUCACUUGAAGCAAUAUUUUGUGCAAUUAUAUUUGAAUAUUUUUCUCCCAGAGAGAAGAAGAGAAGUCUGUACAGCUUCUUACAGAAGAGAGAAGAGGAAAUGAGAAGAGAAGAAAGGAGAGGAGAGAAGGGAAGGGAAGAGGAGAGAAUGAAAGGAGGGAAAGAGGAAAGGUUUUCUAUCCCUAUCUCUCAUCUUUGAAUUGCAUAAUCAAAAACCAUCAAGCGCUAUGAUGAAACUGGCUCUCAUGAGGACCGCCACAGGAAAGGAAGACCCAGAGUUACCUCUGCUGCAAAGGUUCAGAGGACACUGCAUGAAUCAAGCCUUCAUGGUUGAAUUACUGCAAAGAAACCACUACUAAAGGACACCAAUAAGAAGAAGAGACUUGCUUGGGUCAAGAAACAUGAGCAAUGGAUAUUAGACCAGUGGAAAUCUGUCCUUUGGUCUGAUGAGUCCAAAUUUGAGAUUUUUGGUUCCAACUGCCGUGAUCUCCACAUGUGUGGUUCCCACCGUGAAGCAUGGAGGAGGAGGUAUGAUGGUGUGGGAGUGCUCUGCAGGUGACACUGUCUGUGAUUCAUUUAGAAUUCAAGGCACACUUAACCAGCAUGGCUACCACGGCAUUCUGCAGCGAUACGCCAUCCCAUCUGGUUUGUGCUUAGUGGGACUAUCUUUUGUUUUUCAACAGGACAAUGACUCAACACACCUCCAGGCUGUGUAAGGGCUAUUUGACCAAGAAGGAGAGUGAUUGAGUGCUGCAUCAGAUGACCUGGCCUCCACAAUCACCUGACCUCAACCCAAUUGAGAUGGUUGGGGAUGAGUUGGACCACAGAGUGAAUGAAAAGCAGCCAACAAGUGCUCAGCAUAUGUGGGAACUCCUUCAAGACUGUUGGAAAAGCAUUCCAGGUGAAGCUGGUUGAGAGAAUGCCAAUAGUGUGCAAAGCUGUCAUCAAGGCAAAGGGUGGCUACUUUGAAGAAUCUCAAAUAUAAAAUAUAUUUUGAUGUGUUUAACACAUUUUUGGUUACUACAUAUGUGUUAUUUCAUAGUUUUGAUGUCUUCACUAUUAUUCUACAAUGUAUAAAAUAGUACAAACAAAGAAAAAUCAUUGAAUGAGUAGGUGUGUCCAAAAUGAUGACUGAUACUGUAUUUGCCUCAAUUACUUCGUACCCCUGCACAUCAACUCAGUACUGAUACCCUGUAUAUCUUUACUCAUUGUGUAUUUAUUUUACCGUUAGUCUACACCUGCUGUUUAUGAAGCAGGUGACAAAUGAAAUGUGAUUUGAAUGAAUUUGACACAGAUACACAGGUCACAGCAUGUGCAUGGAGCUGUGUGUGGGGAGAGGGGGAAGGUGAACUCAUUUCAUACCAAAUUCAUUUGAAAAUAAUAAUUAUUAGUUGCUUAAUACUUCAUGUAGGGAUAUGCUUUUUUUUCAGAAAC